rnacentral:rRNA from 1 species
AUUGAACGCUGGCGGCAUGCCUUACACAUGCAAGUCGAACGGUAACGCGGGGCAACCUGGCGACGAGUGGCGAACGGGUGAGUAACGCAUCGGAACGUGCCCAGUAGUGGGGGAUAGCCCGGCGAAAGCCGGAUUAAUACCGCAUACGACCUACGGGUGAAAGGGGGGGAUCGCAAGACCUCUCGCUAUUGGAGCGGCCGAUGUCAGAUUAGGUAGUUGGUGGGGUAAAGGCCUACCAAGCCGACGAUCUGUAGCUGGUCUGAGAGGACGACCAGCCACACUGGGACUGAGACACGGCCCAGACUCAUACGGGAGGCAGCAGUGGGGAAUUUUGGACAAUGGGCGCAAGCCUGAUCCAGCCAUGCCGCGUGCGGGAAGAAGGCCUUCGGGUUGUAAACCGCUUUUGUCAGGGAAGAAACGCGCUGGGUUAAUACCUCGGCGUAAUGACGGUACCUGAAGAAUAAGCACCGGCUAACUACGUGCCAGCCGCCGCGGUAACAC